AUACUUACCUGGCAGGGGAGAUGCCAUGAUCAUGUGGGUGGCUUUCCCAGGGCAAGCCUUAUCUAUUGCACUCCAGAUGUGCUGAACUCUGCAAUUUCCCCAGCUGUGGGAAACUUGAUUGCAUGAUUUGUGGCAGUUGGGGACUGCGUUUGCACUCUCCCCUG